CCUACGGGUGGCUGCAGUGAGGAAUAUUGGUCGAUGGGCUUACGCCUGAACCAGCCAAGUCGCGUGAGGGAAGACGGCUCUAUGAGUUGUAAACUGCUUUUGUACGAGGGUAAACGCAGAUACGCGUAUCUGUCUGAAAGUAUCGUACGAAUAAGGAUCGGCUAACUCCGUGCCAGCAGCCGCGGUAAUACGGAGGAUUCAAGCGUUAUCCGGAUUUAUUGGGUUUAAAGGGUGCGUAGGCGGUCGGAUAAGUUAGAGGUGAAAUCCCGAGGCUCAACUUCGGAAUUGCCUCUGAUACUGUUCGGCUAGAGAGUAGUUGCGGUAGGCGGAAUGUAUGGUGUAGCGGUGAAAUGCUUAGAGAUCAUACAGAACACCGAUUGCGAAGGCAGCUUACCAAGCUACUUCUGACGUUGAGGCACGAAAGCGUGGGGAGCAAACAGGAUUAGAUACCUGGUAGUC
rnacentral:rRNA from 1 species